UCCGAGUUGUCCCCGGCAGUCCUUUUAGAGUCCCCGGCAUUACCCGCUGGCAACUAAAAGCAGGGGUUGCGCUCGUUGCGGGACUUAACCCAACAUCUCACGACACGAGCUGACGACAACCAUGCACCACCUGUGCACCGACCUUGCGGGGCCACCAUCUCUGGCGGUUUCCGGUGCAUGUCAAGCCUUGGUAAGGUUCUUCGCGUUGCAUCGAAUUAAUCCGCAUGCUCCGCCGCUUGUGCGGGCCCCCGUCAAUUCCUUUGAGUUUCAGUCUUGCGACCGUACUCCCCAGGCGGCGAACUUAACGCGUUAGCUUCGAUACUGCGUGCCAAAUUGCACCCAACAUCCAGUUCGCAUCGUUUAGGGCGUGGACUAC
rnacentral:misc_RNA from 1 species